CUACGGGUUGCUGCAGUGAGGAAUAUUGGUCAAUGGGCGAGAGCCUGAACCAGCCAUCCCGCGUGCAGGAUGACGGCCCUAUGGGUUGUAAACUGCUUUUCCAUACCAAGAAACCUGAUUACGUGUAAUUAGUUGCCGGUAGUAUGGGAAUAAGCAUCGGCUAACUCCGCGCCAGCAGCCGCGGUAAUACGGAGGAUGCAAGCGUUAUCCGGAUUCAUUGGGUUUAAAGGGUGCGCAGGUGGGCUUGUAAGUCAGUGGUGAAAUGUUGCCGCUUAACGGUAAAAUUGCCAUUGAUACUGCAAGUCUGGAAUAUAGUUGAGGUAGGCGGAAGGUGUUGUGUAGCGGUGAAAUGCAUAGAUAUGACACAGAACACCGAUUGCGAAGGCAGCUUACGAAGCUAUUAUUGACGCUGAGGCACGAAAGCGUGGGGAUCGAACAGGAUUAGAUACCCUGGUAGUC
rnacentral:rRNA from 1 species